GAGCAUGCGCAGUUCUCACUCUGCAGCUGGCUCUCCCUGGGUCGGGAGCUCUGCGCCCACGUGAAGGUUGAGCUUUUCCUCUGGCUCCUUGAGCCGCGACAUCAGGCUCCUCCUGCCCUCGGACACCGGAGCUCCUGGUAUUCGGGCCUUUGGACUCGGGCUGAAUGACUCCUCAGGCUCCCCCAGCUCUCCAGCUUGCAGAGGGGUCUCCAUGGUGAUGUGGAUCGGCUCCCGUCAGCACCGCCUCAUGCCUGCACCGCCUGUGCUUGCAGUCCUCUGAGAAGCCCUGGCUGGUACCCGGGGCCUGCUGGGCCCUCUGCGUCCCUCUCUUCCCUGGACCUGGUCCCCAGCCCUUUCCCCUCCCCGCCACAGCCCCUCCCUGCAGACCUCAGAGGCCUGGGCUUAGGCCUCAGCCAAGGCUGCUCCCAAUCCAGAGGCGAUUUUCAGCCUAGCCUUCGGGACAGGAUCUCCUCAGCUGCCGCCAUCGAGAGUCCACGUGUUGAAACCCAGCCUGGACUCCUCCCCUCCAGGGGCAGAGGCGGCUCCAUCGCUCCUGGCAGACCUUGGGCACUUUCUUGGCUUCUCUGAUGCUCACCUCCUACCUGCUGGUUUUAUCUUCACAAUUUACUAGCCCGGCCAGGCCCUCGCGCUCCCUGGGCCGCCAGCGUGGCCCAGCCUCGUCCAAUCCAUGCCUCCCUGGCGGGUGGCAGUGGUGGCCUCUGAGGUUCUCCCUGGUCCCACCUGGCCUUGCUCUGGAGUCCGUGUCUGCUUUCAGUUGAGCCGUGAGGGAUCCGGUUACUCCAUAGAUCAGAGCCCUGAGCGACUCCUGGUUCAGCCGGAGAAAGAGCCACGCUCUUCCUGUGGCCCCCGCUCUGCUUGUCCCUCCAGACGCCUCACCCUGACCUUCCGGCGUAAGCUCAGGUCUCUGCCCCUCACGGAAACCUUCCUACCCCACCGCCCCCAUUUGGUAAUGAAGCUUCAUCCUGAGCCAAGGCGUCCUGGCCCCUGUAACCUGCUCUGCUUUCCGUGCCUGUAGCACCCAUCACCUGACUUUUACUUUUCAUGUCAUUGUUGACUGUUAAGCUCCCAAGGCAGAGGUGAGCUCUGAUUUUCUUUAGGGACAUAUGCCAGGCUCCUGGAAGAGGUCCUGGCAGGUUGCAGCUUUGACAAAUUUGGAUGGAACUGAGGAAGCUGGCGGAGAGGACAGAGAUGCUCAGUUGCUCGAAAAAUUGUGGGUCAAGCACUAUUGGAUUCCAACAUGUCAGCAAUCAAUCAAUCAAUCACCUUUCUUUAAAGUGUGAAUUCCUUGACUCCAGUUUCCUAAAAGAGCAAGUAAAAAGUAAGGGAAAAUACAAAUUAAAAGUAAGUGGUGUAAUUCUUCCUGUAUUAUUAACAAGAGAGAGCCCUGGAACCUUUUCUCAGAGCAUUUACUGUAAAACUUGUAAUUGAAAGUUCUUUGUCUCUUUGAAAUGUGUACAACUCUUUUAAAAAGCUAAAUAAGCUUCGUGACAGUUUUACAGCCCAGGAAUGUCUUUCUCAAGGACUUGGGAGCCAUCCAUUUGAAACAGUCGUCCAGGAAGGCAGCUCCAGGUUCCCUGGGAGGUUUGGGCCUAGAGUCAGCUGGCAGGGCCUCAAAGUUGCAAACCCACCUCCUGUUGUAAAGCUGAACCGGUCCUGACUCACCUGCUUGAGUGCUCUGCUCUUCGCUGAAGCUGGAGACCAUGGUGGUGCAUGAUGACCAGGGAUGCGAGACCACCAGGGCACUCGAGGGGCCCCAAGUCCUCCAUGCUGUGGGCUGACUUCUCAGGACUCCUCACGGCUGCAGGAUCAAACGACAACACAUGUCAUAAACAGAGAGUGACCUUUUACUCACGUCGGACUUUGCACAGGCCAAAACCCUACAGCAAAUCCUUGAGGAGACAACAAAUUUUCCAGCUAAUUUAUCCUUGUGAUCAGAUAUUUUUGUUUUAUUUUGCAUUUUCAUUUUUAAAACAUUCCCUUGAUUGGUAGAUCUGUCUCUUACACAAGCCUCACCUGUGGAUACUCUGACCCCAAACACUAGUCACCCGUUCGCCUCUAUCUAUAUAUAGAUAUAUGGAUAUAUAGAGAUAUAUAUAGAUAUAUAUAGAUACAUAAGAUACAUAAGAUACGUAUCUAUAUAAAGAGAGGAGAAGAGAGUACAAACAAAAUCACAUGUCUUGUGUUCCUUUAGAGCCUUGAAAAUGAACAAACUUGUUGAGAACACAUCUAAACUAUUAAGUGGCACCAGCCACGCACGCUACAAGCUGACUCAAACUGACUCAAAAUAUCCUAGAUGUUUCCAAAACAAACCCAUGCAACAAGGCAACAUGAAACUAAAACCUUUUAUCCACUGGGGUUAAAUGAAAUUCUCUGCCCAGAAUCUCCAGAUACCCAGUUCCACUGUUUAGCAGGGGGAGAAGCUGGCAGGGACCACGGGCACUUCCCCAUACGGCGAGCAGCUUCUCUCCCUCAUUCCGGGAAGAUAACGGGUGAAGGAUAGAACCAAGAUGGUCCCAAUCAGGACCUCAGGGAGAAAGGAUCUACACACAGGAGCUCAGAAAUGGCUUUAAGGCUGUCUACAUGAGGAUUGCAGAGCAUUCCGGCGGAAGCCGCACCAGGGAGAGGGGCGAGGGCCUCAGAGAAGGCAGCUUGCCCAGGUUCCGUGAGACGUGGGCACUGAACCCAGAGGCUGAGGCCUCGCCCUCACUGUCAUCCCCCAACCCCCAGCAUCUUCACCAGCACCGCACAGUGUCGUCACCAGCAAGGCAGCCCCUGGCACGAGGCUCUCCUAAGCUCUCAUUGCUAACACAGGAGCAAGCUGAGCUCUGAGGGUGUUGUGGACCCAGCCGAGCCCUCUGCAGUAAGUCCCUGAACCCUGCCACCAUCCUGGGGCCCCCGAGCCCUCCGCAGUAAGUCCCUGAACCCUGCCACCAUCCUGGGGUCCCCGCUGAUUCACAAGUGGAGGCAGGCGGAGGACACGGGGGAUGGCAGGUUUUUCUCAUGGUCCCAAGCAAUGGACUCAGAAGUAGGAGAAAUUCCAGGGAGGUGCAGAAGACGCCUUAAGCCAAACUGAUGAACUGGGGGUUUCUCGUGGUGGCCACAGGACGUACUUCCUUGGUGGUGACCGGGCAAUGCCCGGGGCUGCUUAGUGGGGACGCUGGAACGUCCCUGGUGAUAACAACACGGGCACGGCGUCUCCGCUCCAAGACAGACACGGUUUGUGCGUUCCGGUAUCAAGGGUUUUAAUUCUCAGAGAAACAGUGCGGGUCGUCAGAUGCCAGUGUCCUCAUUUUAAAGGGAGGGAAAUGACUUGAGUGAAAUAGUUUGUCCACAGGCAAGAGCAGCGACUGAGAAGUGAGGUUCAGACGCGGACAACAGCAGCGACUGAGAAAAAUCCUCUCCUUCCCUAUCCCUGUGGCCUCGCAUCACACAGAAGGAGCUGGUAUCCCAGGAGCGUUGGCCCAGGGCUUGGGCGUCCAGGGGAGCCCCUGCUUCCAUCGCUGGGGUCGCCACACCCAGGAAGAAACGAUGACGACGGGGUUGCUGGGAGGGAGACGCCGGGAGCAUCAUCGGAUCUGCCGUCCUCCCUCCAGUGAGAAACAGAACGCAGGGAAAGUGCACUGUUAGCAUCGUCCCUAACGCCUGUGUGGGAUUUUCCACCGACUUAGCAAACAGGAGCUUCAAUUCCGGUGAAUGUCUAUAUGUGAAGGGCCCGUCUUGGUUGUGGCACCGAACUUUGCACAACACACACAGCUGAUGGUCUGCGGUUUCACGUUCACCCGAGUGUGUCUUCCAAAUAGAAAGAGCUGGACCAAUCUUAGCCUUUAGUUGGCAAUUUAUAAUUCCCAGUUUUAGUACCUCUAGGAGUGGAGUUUGAUUUUUGGUAUUUAAAUAACAGUAUUUAUUUUGCAAGUUAAUGAUGUCAGUUAAACCUCGUGGAUUCGUAGCAGAUGAACUUCCAGGCAGAGCUGAUUUAGACGAGAUUCAGCACAGGGUGUGCUCUGCCCGCAGCCCGGCUGUCUCCCCUGGACAGGAGCCUGGGAGGCCUGGGUGUGAACGUCCCCUCUGGGCUCCGGCGUCUGUGGGGCGGCGGCCUGGCUCCGUCUGCAAUCCUGAUGUGAACUUCUGGUGCUAGGAGCAGAGGACCUUCCCCUCGGUCAGGUUGGAAGGUUCCGUUUCCCCAGACGUCACUGCCAUUUCUUCCGGCAAAUGACCUGAGGGGCUGAGCAGAGCCUCUAUCGGGAGGGGGUUUGCAGGCUCUUUCUCUGUCUGGAGGCUUUUCCUAUGAACAAAAUGUGGUGGAAGAGCCUUGCAGGGAGAACCCCUCAUGCCCUUCCCACCAUUUAACCAGCGUGGAUGCCAGAGCAGAGGACAGGCCACACCGAGGGCACAGGAGCUCAUGUAGCUGGUCCAGGGGUCAUCAGAGAUCAGCCGCACAGACACACGGGGGACACAUGUGCAGGCCAAGGACAGUGGGCUGCUCCUCACACACCUGCGUGGGGACCAGAUGUCCCGGACCUGGGUCCUGGCUCUGUGGUCACUCAGGGCUCCUGGUCAGAGGUCCAGCUGGGCCUUGGCUCUUCCUGCUCCCAGGGCAGCCCCAGCCCAGCCUCACAAAGCAGAGGAGAGGGGAGGCGCAGUGACCAGCAAACUCCAUGUCCAUCCCGGGCUGGAUGGCCAGAGACGUGGGGCCCUGCAGAGAGGCUGGGGUCCCUUGAGCAGCCACAGGGUGUGGUGCCUCUGCAGCUGUAACUUACGUGGGUGGCACAGGGCGCAGUGACUUUGCAUCUGUAACUGGCAUCCCUGGGCGGCCCAGGGCAUGGUGCCCUUGCAGACGUAGCUGGCUUCUCCUCCCUGCUGACCACCACCUGAGGCCCGGCCGUAUCUUUGUGGGGCUGUGUUCCCGUGUGUGGCCUGGGUGCUGUGUCCUCAUUGGCCUGUGGGGUCUGCACACAGUUCCCAACAGGCCACCCUCUUCAAUCUGCCCCAUUGGCCAGGCCCGGCAGGACAGUGGCUCUGGGAGGAGCCGGCACCUCUGUCCCUGCUCCUAAAAUCCUGGUUGUCUUUUUCAUGAGGAGGUCACGUGCUGUAAGCUCUCCCCACACCCGUGCCGGGGUCUUCCCAUCUCCAUCAGCUGAGCAGACACAUCCCAGGGCCUUCAACGCACUUUGUCUCUGCUGAAAUGAGCAGCGUUCCUGAUACCACAGCUGGUGGCCAUGGUGGGGGCUGUACCUGCACCUGCUUCUGGCCUUUGUUGAUUUCACCACGCGGACCCCUCCUUCUGGCUUGUUUAGCUCAGGCGGACCCCUGUGUGCCCACUCAGCUCAGGCAGCUCUAGGUAAACAGCUCCGCUGGUGCCUCGGUGUCCCUGGCCAUGCUGUUGGCCGGGUCCUCUGACAUUGGCCGUAUGACUCUGAGUUCUCCCAGCACCUCCUUGGGGGCACAGGGUCGUCUCCACAGCACCACAACUGUGGGCAGCAGGGGUGGCAGCCAAGCCUGCGGGUCUCGGCGGGAGCCUGGGGUGGGGUCUCUGGGCUCCCAGCCUCUUCCGUGGGGCCUGGAAACCCAGACCUGCCCUGGACCCCCGAGGCCUCCUGCACUCUGGGGCCUCUGCACCCCGAUGUGCCUCAGCUGAGAAGGGGACUGAGGGUCGGCACCACUGCCCCAUCAGUUCUUCGAGGAACAUAAAAUCUGAACUCAAUCUCCUUUAAAAACGCAUCCUGUCUUCUCUUCUGAAGCUGCAGCCUGGUUCUGAGGGAGCGGAGACGCCCACCCCUGGAUGGCAGCCCCUGAAAACAAAGGAAGGUGAAAUUCCUCGCAGCCUCUCAACAGUCCUGACCACAGUGAAUGAAGUUACCAGAAACGCUUCACCAAUGACACGGCCAGAGACGGCAUUUUUAAUCCUCCAGCAUUUCAUGCCCACAGCAAACUAAAUGGAUAUAACCUGGAAACACAAAGAAAGUGAAACUGCAGCCUCAGAAUUCACACUUCAGAAAAACCCACCUGAUUCCUUUUGCUAAUAGGAGCCAUUUGCCUACACUACGGAGGCAGCUGGAGAGAGCUUGGGGUGUGGCCGUGGGUAACGGCGCCUUGAAACCCCUCUGCCUGUGCCAGCCCCGACCCGGGCGCGCCCCUGCCCAGCUGCCCAGCUUUCUAAAGAGCCCGUGCCCUCCUCGCGUCUCCGGGAAGGAGUCUGUAAUCUCACCUCGGAGGCAAAGGCCUAGGACCUCCUGCCCUGCGAGAUGCUGCACCCCGAGUUCGCAGUGAGCCUCCCAAAUACGCCAGCAUCCCUCAUCCUCUGUCCCCACCCUUCUCCUUGUGCCUGUGUUUAACGACGACUGUUUUGGUGGGUUCCAGCAGGAAGCAAAGAUAAAAGUGUAGGUGGUGUUGUCUAAGAUGUUUAAUCCUAAGGCCAUGGUUAAUAUCCUUUCUGAACUUCAACUUUAAUUCUAAAGAUGUGUCAGUGGGUGAGGCAAUAAAUAUGAACUUUGCACUCCUCACUCUGCACCAAAAUCACUUCAAUUCUCCUUUCUAGGCACUGCAGCUCUCCCCAUGGCCAAUGAGUUCACUUUUCAGUCCCCUGCUAGGAUUCUCUGAUUUUUUAGAGUUCUAACAUGAGGCAGGUGAAAUAACCUUUGCCAAACCUUUGCUUUAUAUAGAAACUUAAAUUUGUCUUUCAACACUGCUUUUUCCAUUGCUACAUAAAUAUUUAUCAAGUACUAUGAUUUUGCAUCAUUUGCUGUGUGCCUUUUCAGGAAAAAUAUUUAUGAAUUGUUAAUAUGUUGAAAAGACAAAAUGUCUGAAAAUCAAAUUUUAUAUACAUAUAUCUAUAUAUACGCACACACAGACACACAGAUACAUAUAUAUAUACUUUGAAUCAGUGUGAGGUCUAAAAAAUAUAAAGCAUUGAUUUUUACUUCAGUGAGGAUGAUGCUGACUUGAAAACUUGUGUAAGAAUUUUACUGUAUGUGAUUGAUAGUACAUUUUCUUCAUUGUCUUUUUCUUUAACUAAAGAUAAGGCUUUUGCUGUUCCGAGGAUUCCACACCUGACAUAAAUAUUUGGAGGGAAGUGACCAGUGAUUACAAACCCUUAACAUCUGGAAUUUUGGCUUCCUUUGUUUUGAACUGAGAAUAACAGCAUUGAAUUUUUAUGUAAAAGAGUCUUUUUCUCACUGUGAGCCUCAGUAUUAAUCGCGCUGAUACCUGUCACUGAAUGGCUGUUGCUCUCAGAUCACCUUCCCCAGCUGUUUCCGUUUCAUGAAGGUAGAAAAUUAGUAUAGCUUAUUUUUAUGGAACAUCAAUUUUACUGGAAGACUGUGGGGGAAACUGUCAUAUAUUCUGUCAACAUGUCAUAAAUGUGAGCAAGAAAAAAAACAGCCUUUUAGGUUUUCAUUGAAGCCCAUAUUAUCUUUUCUGGCCAAACCCAGAAGGGUAGAUGCUGUAUCUGUGCCGUGCGUGUUAUGAGUCUGUGCUUUGGAAUGUGGACGUUCUGUGGUGAGAAACCCAGUGACCGGGAGCCGCUCCACGGCGAGACCAGCAGCAACCUCAGAGAGGAGACGGGCGACAGCGCCUUGGCCUGGGCCUCGGGCCAGCAAGCCAGAAGGCCCCACUUCAUGGUGAAUUUCCACCACAAAGAAGCAUGUCAAGCUGUAUUUCGGGAGCUCAACGAUGCAGCCCACAAGGUAUGACUGAGUACAUUGAACCACACGUGUUUCAAAUGUAUGAGCUGGUAAAUUCUGACGUGUGUGCACACCAUGAAACCGUCACCCAUCAGGAUGGAGAAUGCAUCCACCACCAGAAAGCUCCCUGUCUUUCUUGUUCAUUUUCGCCCAUAUUCCAUCUCCCCCGAGCCUCCCUGCCUCUUCAGUUAUAAUCUGAUAAACUAUAUAGUUUCAGUUAUAAUCUGAUAAAGUUUAUAAUCUAUAAACUAUCCCUAUAAAUUAGUUUGCAAUUUCUAGAAUCUGUGUAAAUGGGAUUAUAUGUAAGAUUAUCCACUCUUGUUUCUUGGCUUCUUCAGUGAGUAAAACCAUUUUGAGAUUGA